UACGUAGGGUGCGAGCGUUAAUCGGAAUUACUGGGCGUAAAGCGUUGCGCAGGCGGUUCGUUGUGUCGGCGGUGAAAGCCCCGGGCUCAACCUGGGAAUGGCCGUUGAAACUGGCGAACUGGAGUGUGGCAGAGGGGGGGUGGAAAUUCCGCGUGUAGCAGUGAAAUGCGUAGAGAUGCGGAGGAACACCGAUGGCGAAGGCAGCCCCCCUGGGCUGACACUGACGCUCGAGGCACGAAAGCGUGGGGAGCAAACAGG
rnacentral:rRNA from 1 species